UACGUAGGGAGCAAGCGUUGUCCGGAAUCAUUGGGCGUAAAGCGCGCGUAGGUGGCCCUGUAAGUCCGUUGUGAAAGCCAAAGGCUCAACCUUUGAAAGCCGAUGGAUACUGCAGGGCUAGAGUACGGAAGAGGCGAGUGGAAUUCCUGGUGUAGCGGUGGAAUGCGCAGAUAUCAGGAGGAACACCAAUAGCGAAGGCAGCUCGCUGGGACGUUACUGACGCUGAGGUGCGAAAGCGUGGGGAGCAAACAGG
rnacentral:rRNA from 1 species